ACUCAAGAACCCAGCCCCCAUAGUGUGAGGAGGCCUAGGACAGUUACAGAAGCCAUGUGUAGGUGUUCUGGCUCCAGCAAAAGUCUUAUCUGACAACAUCAACUACAUGUUAGUGGGGUUUGUCUUGGUCCAUUUUAUGCUGCUAUAACAGAACACCACAGACUGAGAAAUUUAUAAGGAAUAGAAGUUUAUUUGCCUCAUGUUUCUGGAGGCUGGGAAUUCCAAGAUCAAGGGGCUGCAUAGAUUGAGGUCCUUUUUGCUGACUCAUAACGUGGAAAGAGAGUGCACUGCAUAGAAGAAAGGAGGCCAAACUCAUUCUUUUAUCAUGAGCCUACUCCUGAAAUAACUCACUCUCAAGAUAAUGGCAUUAAUCCAUUCAUGAAGGCAGAAUACUCAUGAUGUAAUCACCUCUUAAAAGACUAACCAGAAUUGGCUACAGUUUCUUCAAGAAAAUACCCCAAUGGAAGAAAAAAAGGUGGAGGGAGAAACUGAAUGAAGAAAGGAUGAUUUGAAAUUACCAGAAAGUGGAACGUGGAAAAAACAGAGUAAAACUAGUUUGAGAAUAAAAUCUUAGGUUGUAAC
rnacentral:lncRNA from 1 species